rnacentral:rRNA from 1 species
CACGUAGGGGGCGAGCGUUGUCCGGAUUUAUUGGGCGUAAAGAGCGUGUAGGCGGUUCGGUAAGUCUGUCGUGAAAUCCUGAGACUCAACCUCGGGCGUGCGAUGGAUACUGCCGGGCUAGAGGGUGGUAGAGGCGAGUGGAAUUCCCGGUGUAGCGGUGAAAUGCGCAGAUAUCGGGAGGAACACCAGUAGCGAAGGCGGCUCGCUGGGCCACACCUGACGCUGAGACGCGAAAGCUAGGGGAGCGAACAGG